rnacentral:rRNA from 1 species
UGUUAGUGGAAGCGUCUGGAAAGGCGUGCGAUACAGGGUGACAGCCCCGUACACAAAAAUGCACAUAUUGUGAGCUUGAUGAGUAGGGCGGGACACGUGGUAUCCUGUCUGAAUAUGGGGGGACCAUCCUCCAAGGCUAAAUACUCCUGACUGACCGAUAGUGAACCAGUACCGUGAGGGAAAGGCGAAAAGAACCCCGGCGAGGGGAGUGAAAAAGAACCUGAAACCGUGUACGUACAAGCAGUGGGAGCACGCUUAGGCGUGUGACUGCGUACCUUUUGUAUAAUGGGUCAGCGACUUAUAUUCUGUAGCAAGGUUAACCGAAUAGGGGAGCCGAAGGGAAACCGAGUCUUAACUGGGCGUUAAGUUGCAGGGUAUAGACCCGAAACCCGGUGAUCUAGCCAUGGGCAGGUUGAAGGUUGGGUAACACUAACUGGAGGACCGAACCGACUAAUGUUGAAAAAUUAGCGGAUGACUUGUGGCUGGGGGUGAAAGGCCAAUCAAACCGGGAGAUAGCUGGUUCUCCCCGAAAGCUAUUUAGGUAGCGCCUCGUGAAUUCAUCUCCGGGGGUAGAGCACUGUUUCGGCAAGGGGGUCAUCCCGACUUACCAACCCGAUGCAAACUGCGAAUACCGGAGAAUGUUAUCACGGGAGACACACGGCGGGUGCUAACGUCCGUCGUGAAGAGGGAAACAACCCAGACCGCCAGCUAAGGUCCCAAAGUCAUGGUUAAGUGGGAAACGAUGUGGGAAGGCCCAGACAGCCAGGAUGUUGGCUUAGAAGCAGCCAUCAUUUAAAGAAAGCGUAAUAGCUCACUGGUCGAGUCGGCCUGCGCGGAAGAUGUAACGGGGCUAAACCAU